GCUGCCUGCGAAGUUUGCAUGCUCUUGCUGCUGAUCGAUCACCGUUUUACUGGCAUUGAAAUUCCAAAGGCUCUCCCAUCAAGGUUACGCGCAUUAUUAGCCCUCGAAUGCAUUAUACUUCAAAGCAUGCCCAGCAGAAUGCAGCAGGAAUUUGUUCAAGAUGCACGUACUGUUCCUUUCCGGACCUGCAGCGCCAUUUAAGAGUUACCGCGAGUCUGCCAUGGGGAGUAAUAGCGCGUCCCGUUCAGCGCAGCAGCUUCUUUCUCAGAUUUUCUGAGUGCUGACAGAUGUAUCCAUGGGGUGUGAACUUAAGAAGAUUUUUCUUCGAAAUGUGAUUAAUUCCUUUUUGCCUUUGUUUCGUUUAUUCUGUUGGUGUUAAUGUUAAAAUCUGGCACCACUUAUUUUAUGUAAGUUAAUAAAGGCAAUAUUAAUUGACUUUUCUGGAGCCUUGGUCUAUGCCACGGGCAAUGUUAGUGGAAGUUUUAAAACACAACUUUCUUGUUGUUUUUGUGGAGUCAUAAAAUAAAGAUCCUGGAUUCUUUUAUUUUUCUUCCUCUUCUUCUUCAAUAAAUACUGUUAUGAAAAAGUAAAUAACGACACUGA